AUUGAACGCUGGCGGCAGGCCUAACACAUGCAAGUCGAGCGGAUGAAGGGAGCUUGCUCCUGGAUUCAGCGGCGGACGGGUGAGUAAUGCCUAGGAAUCUGCCUGGUAGUGGGGGAUAACGUCCGGAAACGGGCGCUAAUACCGCAUACGUCCUGAGGGAGAAAGUGGGGGAUCUUCGGACCUCACGCUAUCAGAUGAGCCUAGGUCGGAUUAGCUAGUUGGUGGGGUAAAGGCCUACCGAGGCGACGAUCCGUAACUGGUCUGAGAGGAUGAUCAGUCACACUGGAACUGAGACACGGUCCAGUCUCCUACGGGAGGCAGCAGUGGGGAAUAUUGGACAAUGGGCGAAAGCCUGAUCCAGCCAUGCCGCGUGUGUGAAGAAGGUCUUCGGAUUGUAAAGCACUUUAAGUUGGGAGGAAGGGCAGUAAGUUAAUACCUUGCUGUUUUGACGUUACCAACAGAAUAAGCACCGGCUAACUUCGUG
rnacentral:rRNA from 1 species